rnacentral:piRNA from 1 species
UGAAUGGAUCUGGAUGUCACACUGCUUAU